UGGGGAAUUUUGCACAAUGGGGGCAACCCUGAUGCAGCGACGCCGCGUGAUUUAGAAGGCCUUCGGGUUGUAAAAAUCUUUUGUAUGGGAAGAAAAUGACAGUACCAUACGAAUAAGGACCGGCUAAUUACGUGCCAGCAGCCGCGGUAAUACGUAAGGUCCGAGCGUUGUCCGGAAUCAUUGGGCGUAAAGGGUACGUAGGCGGAUAAGCAAGUUAGAAGUGAAAUCCUAUAGCUCAACUAUAGUAAGCUUUUAAAACUGCUCAUCUUGAGGUAUGGAAGGGAAAGUGGAAUUCCGAGUGUAGCGGUGAAAUGCGCAGAUAUUAGGAGGAAUACCGGUGGCGAAGGCGGCUUUCUGGCCAUAAACUGACGCUGAGGUACGAAAGCGUGGGUAGCAAACAGG
rnacentral:rRNA from 1 species